GAAACUCGCCUACAUGAAGCUGGAGUUACUAGUAAUCGCAGAUCAGAAUGCUGCGGUGAAUGCGUUCCCGGGUCUUGUACACACCGCCCGUCACACCACGGGAGUUGGAGACGCCCGAAGCCGAUUAUCUAACCUUUUGGAAGAAGUCGUCGAAGGUGGAAUCAAUAACUGGGGUGAAGUCGUAACAAGGUAGCCGUAUCGGAAGGUGCGGCUGGAUCACCUCCUUUCUAAGGAGA
rnacentral:rRNA from 1 species